ACAGAAUGCCCAGAUGUCCCAAUUUUCCACUAGCACUUAAUACCAGCAAGCAUUUGUGAGUCUGUGGAGUGGAGAGCAGAAGUAAUCUCAAAAGUCCACACACAUGUGUAACGGUAAGCUGAGCAGGAGGGAGACAGUCUGGUGCGGUGGUGAUGAAGUCCAGAUGAGGGUGCAUGGUGUCGCUGCUCCCUUUCAUAGCCAUUCACUAACUGAGGUCCAGCACAGGAUGAACCAUGGUCAUGUCCUUCUCAGCCUGUGACAGCAGUAAAGCAUACUCCAAGGAUCUUGAGUGGCAUAAUUGCAUUUUGAGAUAAAACUCAAAACUCAAAAUAUAUUUAUAUUCUUACAGCUCCUAUCAUCAUCAGAGCUCCCAUGUAUGAGCUGUUUAUUUCAAUUUGAAAAUAAACCUAUAGGCUCCUAUUUUCAAAUGUAA